rnacentral:rRNA from 1 species
UGGGGAAUAUUGGACAAUGGGGGGAACCCUGAUCCAGCCAUGCCGCGUGUGUGAAGAAGGCCUUAUGGUUGUAAAGCACUUUAAGCGAGGAGGAGGGUACUGGUAUUAAUACUACCAGGUACUGGACGUUACUCGCAGAAUAAGCACCGGCUAACUCUGUGCCAGCAGCCGCGGUAAUACAGAGGGUGCGAGCGUUAAUCGGAUUUACUGGGCGUAAAGCGUGCGUAGGCGGCUAAUUGAGUCGGAUGUGAAAUCCCCGAGCUUAACUUGGGAAUUGCAUUCGAUACUGGUUAGCUAGAGUGUGGGAGAGGAUGGUAGAAUUCCAGGUGUAGCGGUGAAAUGCGUAGAGAUCUGGAGGAAUACCGAUGGCGAAGGCAGCCAUCUGGCCUAACACGGACGCUGAGGUACGAAAGCAUGGGGAGCAAACAGG